rnacentral:rRNA from 1 species
GUAGGGAAUAUUGGACAAUGGGGGCAACCCUGAUCCAGCGACGCCGCGUGAGUGAUGAAGGCCUUCGGGUCGUAAAGCUCUGUUGCAGGGGAAGAACACAAUGACGGUACCCUGCUAGAAAGGAUCGGCUAACUUCGUGCCAGCAGCCGCGGUAAGACGAGGGAUCCUAGCGUUGUUCGGAAUUAUUGGGCGUAAAGCGGGUGCAGGUGGCUUGGUAAGUCAGAUGUGAAAGCCUGGGGCUUAACCCCAGAAGUGCAUUUGAUACUGCUGGGCUUGAGUGCUGGAGAGGCUAUUAGAAUUCCUGGUGUAGUGGUGAAAUACGUAGAUAUCAGGAGGAAUACCGGAGGCGAAGGCGGAUAGCUGGCCAGACACUGACACUCAGACCCGAAAGCGUGGGGAUCAAACAGGAUUAGAAACCCGAGUAGUCC